rnacentral:rRNA from 1 species
AUUGAACGCUGGCGGCAUGCCUUACACAUGCAAGUCGAACGGUAACGGGCCUUCGGGUGCCGACGAGUGGCGCGCGGGUGAGUAAUACAUCGGAACGUGCCCGAUCGUGGGGGAUAACGAGGCGAAAGCUUUGCUAAUACCGCAUACGAUCUACGGAUGAAAGCAGGGGACCGCAAGGCCUUGCGCGGACGGAGCGGCCGAUGGCAGAUUAGGUAGUUGGUGGGAUAAAAGCUUACCAAGCCGACGAUCUGUAGCUGGUCUGAGAGGAUGAUCAGCCACACUGGGACUGAGACACGGCCCAGACUCCUACGGGAGGCAGCAGUGGGGAAUUUUGGACAAUGGGCGCAAGCCUGAUCCAGCCAUGCCGCGUGCAGGAUGAGGGCCUUCGGGUUGUAAACUGCUUUUGUACGGAACGAAAAGCCUUCUUUUAAUACAGGAGGGUCAUGACGGUACCGUAAGAAUAAGCACCGGCUAACUACGUG